GCGGCUCCUCUAAGAAUUCUUCCUUCCGUGCCAGCAAACGCAACUGCACGCUUUCGUUAUUUUGUGUGAUAACAUUUUCCAGUUGGAUCUAAUUAAAUCCCACAGAUUGAAUCCCGCACUACAGUACGGUCUGGGGAUAGAAUGCGUCCCUCGCUGUUACUCGAGGCCGGUGAUGUGAGAGUAACUUGACUGGCAGGGAAGUCAAAGAUGUUAGGAGGGAGCGACCGCCCGAAGAGCAGAAAGAGAACGGAGACAAAGGGCCUUCUCAGAGCAGGGGCGUCGCCGAGAUCGUUAUUUCCAGGAGGCUGGCUUGGUUCCCUCACACCCUGACGCAUAUCCAGAUGGCUGGAGCUCCGAGUAGAUGCUAGUGGAGUAGGUUUGAAUGGACAACCUGUGGCAGGACAGAUGCCCAAUCCACUGGUGGCUGAGCUCUUUGUGCAAAGCUCUUUGCACCUCGCUCCUUCUGGUGAUACCCCCCUCUCUGAUAUCAAAAGUUCUAAUUCUUCCGAGUCAUUCAUGGAAUCAUCCCUUCGGAAUGGAUUGUGGAGGAGAGAGCCCCCAUCAGCAAUCGUUUCUCAGUAUGGAUCUAAAGGCCAGAGAUGGACUCUGCUUCAGGAAGGUUCUCUCCUCCUUCUCCAGGUUACCCAAGAACACUCAGAAGUGCUGACUUCUUUUGUUUUGGGACAGUAUCCCUCACUGGCCUGGAACUCGCCAAGUAGGCUGGUGAGCAAGCCCAGCGAUCCUCCUGUCUCUGCCUCUCCAGCACCUGGAUUACAAAUGAAGGCUCCUACAUGUGAUGUAUGUCUCUCUCUCUCUCUCUUCUCUCUCUCUCUCUCUCUCUCUCUCUCUCUCUCUCUCUCUCUCUCUCUCUCUCUCUCUCUCUGUCCUCUUUUGUUCUGCCAUUCUGUUCUUUGUUUUAUCCCAAAACAGGACCUCACUCUGCCUUGGCUGGCCAGGAACCUCUGCGUAGUCAAGCCUGCUCUCAAACUUGCAACAUUUUUUCACCUUGGACUCUGGGGUUAAGGGUGUGAGCCGUCCCAGCCCUACCUAACCGCACCGGUUGCUUUUGUGUCUUUUUCAUGAGGAGACACCUGGCAAGAGAGCUCACUUCGCUCAUUAGUCUCCCUGUGUUUUUACUUGGAAAUCCUGUGGGAAGUGUGCCUUCCUUUGUACACGAGAAUCUACUGCUUUCUCCUGCAACACCAGCAGGCCUGUUAGAAUGAAUGCAGCACACAUCAAUCUGGGAGAAGGGAAGUUGGGGAGGGAAGGAGUUUACCAGGCUCUCAAAACAAUUCCCCAUGCCUGAAUUCUUCAUUCCCGACCCCUGGAAGAAAUGUUAAGUAAACGUUGAGCAUCUGGUUUACAGUCUGAGUCCAGUCAUUCUGUCAGACUCCUGAGACCCACAUUGCAGGUCACGGAGGCGGUGACGGGAACCAGGACGGGCGGGUGGAACCUCCGAGUGUCCUGUUACAACCAUCUUGUAAACACUCAGGAGAACCUGCUGGCUGUUGGAAACCCAGACUCUAAAUAGUUUACUUCUGAAUAAUUUGUAAAUCCUUUCCCAGCUCGGAUAACCAUAAAGUCCUGCAAAGCGCUUUAUAAACACUCAUUAGAGUCUUACAGAAAUCCUUUGAGAUCUGCAUGAUUAUCCCCAUUUGGCAGGUGAGUAAACUGAGUCACGACAGUUGAAAGAUCUGCUCAAAGCCAUGCCAGGGGCAGGGGCAGGGCCUGAGCUGGAGCUCAGACUUCUAGGCUCCUCAGUAGGUGAGCUGUUCCACAGAAUGUGCUGGAUCAGCCUAGCUAGGCUUCUAUGGCCAGGUCCCUACAGAGUUGCUGGGUUCUGUGGGAAACCCUUCUCUUGGGUCCUUGGGAUUGACUGAGGCUCCCUGGUUC